rnacentral:rRNA from 1 species
UACGUAGGCAGCGAGCGUUGUUCGGAAUUACUGGGCGUAAAGAGUGUGUAGGCGGUGUUCCAAGUCUGGUGUGAAAUCUCCCGGCUCAACUGGGAGGGUGCGCCGGAAACUGGGAUGCUAGAGGGUGGGAGAGGUAAGCGGAAUUCCUGGUGUAGCGGUGAAAUGCGUAGAUAUCAGGAGGAACACCUGUGGUGUAGACAGCUUACUGGACCACUUCUGACGCUGAGACACGAAAGCGUGGGUAGCAAACAGG